rnacentral:lncRNA from 1 species
AAAGUACUGAAAACUCUUAAAUCUAUACCAGUAGCCAUUUUAUAGUAAUUUUUUCUUUCAUCUGUAAAUAAAAUUUUUAUAUAUUUAAUUCUUCUGUAGAAUUCAAAUAUAAACUAAAAUUUAAUUUCUUUACAGAUAAAAAAAAAAGUAGUGUGGAGCAACCAGCAAGUAUUCAUCUGUCGUCUAGUUAUAGUACAGUAUCACCAGAUUCAACUCCUAGAAGCAUGACUAUUAAUAAUUAUUAUGGUUUGAAAGACAUUUCAGAGGAAACAACAAUCCAGAAAAUGGAAAGGAUGAAAAAAAUGUUUGAAGAGACUGCAGAAUUACUGAAAUGCUCAAGUCACUAACUGUAGAGUGUUCUGCAUGAAGUUCUCUAAGAGUUUGGCUACUUUUAUAUAUUGUCUGUUUUAAGAAUUCCUUAUAUAAUUUUAAUAUACUGAAAUAUUUUAUUAAGGAUUUGGGUUCUGUUUGGUAUGUGAGUUUUUUCAUUAUUGAAUAAAUA